rnacentral:pre_miRNA from 1 species
UGAUUGUCCACUCGCAUUUCUUGUCGCCUGUUGACUUCUCUCAAUUACAAGAUGUGUGAAUGGACAUCUUA